rnacentral:ribozyme from 1 species
UAUUGUCCAUUCGUAUUGUAAGUAGCAGCAGCGUAAACGAGCAGUAACUUCUUCCGCGAGCACAACCCUCCGAAAAUUCUCAGAAGACUUCUUCUUUUUUGUGCAGUCCACAGUGUCAAGCGUGGCGGCGGGUGGUCUGCUCAAAUAGAAAUAGGAGGUGUCUGGUUUGAUCGAUCCACUAUAUCGUCGCUGGUCAAUACCGACGAUUCAUUACUUGUACGGAUCAAC